GACCUGGCUGGGUGGUCUUGCCGAAAGGUAAGCACUGCUCCGGUCGGGUCUUUCCUUCUGGGGAACCAGUGUGCUCUUAAUUGGGUGCGCUGGGGAUCCAGGACUUUUACUUUGAAAAAAUUAGAGUGUUUAAAACAGGCUUAUGCUUGAAUAGAUUAGCAUGGAAUAACGGAAUAGGAC
rnacentral:rRNA from 1 species